GAUAAUGACAUUCCCCUUCACAUUGUUAAUCUUAAUUGUACUGGUAAUGAAGAGAGUAUAUGGGAUUGCCCCUCAAGUACACAAGGACAGGAAUCCUGCACUGUAAACACUGAUGUAUCAGUUGCCUGUCAUGGUUUUGUUGUGGAGUAUUCUGAUUGUGCUAAUGGUCAGAUACAAUUAUCAAAUGGAACAAGCAAAA